rnacentral:rRNA from 1 species
UACGAACCGUGCGAACGUUGUUCGGAAUCACUGGGCUUAAAGGGCGCGUAGGCGGCAGAUCAAGUCCGGGGUGAAAGCCUCCAGCUCAACUGGAGAAGUGCCUUGGAUACUGAUUUGCUCGAGGGAGGUAGGGGUCGAGGGAACUUCUGGUGGAGCGGUGAAAUGCGUUGAUAUCAGAAGGAACGCCGGUGGCGAAAGCGCUCGACUGGAUCUCUUCUGACGCUGAGGCGCGAAAGCUAGGGGAGCAAACGGG